rnacentral:tRNA from 1 species
UGGCACAGUGGUUAAAGUGCUCGGUUGCGAACUGAAAGGUCGGUGGUUCGAAUCCACC